rnacentral:lncRNA from 1 species
GUCUUUAGCAGGUCUCGGUUUGACUGAGGCAACACCCAUUAAGCAAAUUGGAAGUCUUCUUUUGUUGAUUUUAUACUCUACGUUAAACUGUCUUUCACUUUUGCCAGAUUUUCAGUUUGCCUGCCCUUUCUUUUCUGUUGUGUGUCCUCCUUCCACCCCUAGAUGUGACAAAUGUUAUUUCUGCAUUUCCUAUCGGAUAAGGAAGUCACACCUGUUAUUCAGAGCAAACUGUGGUCCUGAGUGCUUGAAUGGAGCCAGGAUAGCCUCUGGGUGGAAUGAAUAA